CUGGAGGUAUCAGAAGUGCGAAUGCUGACAUAAGUAACGAUAAAGCGGGUGAAAAGCCCGCUCGCCGGAAGACCAAGGGUUCCUGUCCAACGUUAAUCGGGGCAGGGUGAGUCGACCCCUAAGGCGAGGCCGAAAGGCGUAGUCGAUGGGAAACGGGUUAAUAUUCCCGUACUUGGUGUUACUGCGAAGGGGGGACGGAGAAGGCUAUGUUGGCCGGGCGACGGUUGUCCCGGUUUAAGCGUGUAGGUGUGUGUUCCAGGUAAAUCCGGUUCACUUUAACACUGAGGCGUGAUGACGAGGCACUACGGUGCUGAAGCAACAAAUGCCCUGCUUCCAGGAAAAGCCUCUAAGCAUCAGGUAACAUCAAAUCGUACCCCAAACCGACACAGGUGGUCAGGUAGAGAAUACCAAGGCGCUUGAGAGAACUCGGGUGAAGGAACUAGGCAAAAUGGUGCCGUAACUUCGGGAGAAGGCACGCUGACAUGUAGGUGAAGUGAUUUACUCAUGGAGCUGAAGU
rnacentral:rRNA from 1 species